UGGUAUUGGGCAUGGAGGCAACUCUGACCCAGCCAUGCCGCGUGAAGGAAGAAGGUUUAUGGAUUGUAAACUUCUUUUAUUUGGGAAGAACCUUUCUACGUGUAGAAAGCUGACGGUACCAAACGAAUAAGGACCGGCUAACUCCGUGCCAGCAGCCGCGGUAAUACGGAGGGUCCAAGCGUUAUCCGGAAUCAUUGGGUUUAAAGGGUGCGCAGGCGGUUUAAUAAGUCAGUGGUGAAAUCUCGGGGCUUAACCUCGAAACUGCCAUUGAUACUGUUAGACUUGAGUUCAGUUGGAGUAGGCGGAAUGUGUAGUGUAGCGGUGAAAUGCUUAGAUAUUACACAGAACACCGAUAGCGAAGGCAGCUUACUAAACUGAUACUGACGCUGAGGCACGAAAGCGUGGGGAGCGAACAGGAUUAGAUACCCUGGUAGUCCACGCCGUAAACUAUGAUUACUCGAUAUUGGCGAUAUACAGUCAGUGUCUAAGCGAAAGUGAUAAGUAAUCCACCUGGGGAGUACGGCGCAAGAUUGAAACUCAAA
rnacentral:rRNA from 1 species